rnacentral:SRP_RNA from 2 species
GCCGGGCGUGGUGGCGGGCGCCUGUAAUCCCAGCUACUCUGGAGGCUGAGGCAGGAGAAUCACUUGAACCCAGGAGGCAGAGAUUGCAGUGAGCCGAGAUUGCGCCACUGCAUUCCAGCCUGGGCGACAGAGCGAGACUCUGUCUCAC